rnacentral:lncRNA from 1 species
AACACUGCUCUGGACACUGUGGACACAGAUGGAACAAAAGGGCAGUAAAAUGCAGAUGCACUGCGUGUACAGGGCAAGGGUAAGGGUGUUGAGAACACCUAGGGAAGGAUGGCAGGAGGGAAUGUGAUGUCACUGGUUGGAGGUUGAGGUUGAAAGUUUCGUACUUCACCCCUGAGGCUCCAGUAGGAGAAAGGGGAGAGACAAUUGGUUGUUCAGCUCAUCGAAAAGAUUUAUGAAGCUUCCAGAGAGAGAUCUGAACCACACUCAUCAAAUCAUCCCUGGCAUAAAGGAAAUUUGCAGAUGACUAGCCAGUGGCAGGAUGGCCUUCAAAUCGGCACUACCUCACACAAUUUACACUUCCUCCAUUACCUAGAUGGACCAAGAAACAUUUUUAUUUUGUAUGUUAAAUCUGCACCCCAAAAUUGUUAGGUUUAAUUUGUGAGAUUAUGUAUUUAAUAUCAGCAUUUCAGUAGCCAUCUGAAGAAGGUGCUUCUUGGGGGAAUGAUUUUCAACACAGUAGGCCCAGUCUGGUUUGGAUUCAACACAGGGAUCAUCAUUUCCCCCUGCUGAGAUUCAGCAAGCUGUCUCCUUCUGCUAUUUGAACACCCUGAUGCGACUUGAGGUCUGCAGUCAUUGCAGAGGUAGGCAUUGGUCUGCUCUGACGGGGUCCAGAAACUGUGGCCUGCCUGCCCUGAGGGGAUGGAGGUAGCAUACCUAUGGCCAAGGAAAGCACAGUGUGCUGCAGAAGCAGGGCCAGGGUUCUCAGCAAACUCCUUUUUAAACAGCUGUGCUUCACUUUUCCAAAGGACUCGAAACAUAAACUUCCUGGAGGGAUGUGACAGCGUCAUUAUUGCACAAUCCUCUGGUUUCUGUUUCUUCCCCUGUCCCCUAUCCCUUCCCACAAAAUAAAUGCAUUCUUUGUUUCCUGUGCUGCCCUAGAAACAAGCAAUGUGCCACACAAAGGUAACAAUUCAGUCCAUAAGUCCCAUUUUCCCCCACAAGUACAUUUCUGUCUUUUCAACCAGGUAUACACAUGAGAACCAAGUUGGCCCUGCCUGGAUCCUCAAGGGAUUAUCUUGGUCCCAUCAUCUCAAAACUUUCCUCAGGCCAUUUUACUCACGACUGAUUAUAGAUAGGGGUGGGAACAGAUAACAUUAGAAGGAGACCAACCCAAAAGAUAAUGUGUUUCUCUUGAUUUGAUUCUUGAGGUAAAAAUGUUUGGGAUCUUAGAAUAGAAAAUUCUAGUUCAUCAUAGUAUUUGGAGGCCAGAAUAAUCCCUCUGUGUUUCUCUGGCACAAAAACAAAAUGGAUGAGAUUUUAGCUUUUGUUAAAGACCAAAAAAAGCCCUCACUGCUUAUUUGGUCCUAUAGUGUUCUGAGCUUACCUGACUGAUCAGCACUAUUCUAUGUCCAUAAAGUAGCUAAGUGUACUCAACCAGACUGUAAGCUCUCAAGCAUGGACACUGGGCCUUCCCUAGCAUUCUUUUCAGUAUCUAUCACCAUGCUGGGCAUGGCACAGCUGUUGAAAUAAGAGUUUGUUGAGCCUGCUAUUUGGGAAUCUGGAUCCUUCUAGCUACUGAGCAGUAAAACUAUGGUAAGAAGUCUGUGGGGAACAUUUUCAUGCCCAAUUCACAAGCCAUUUAAUAGUUCCAUUGGAGUUUUGUUUGAAUGAUCAUUUUCUUCAAGGGGAAGUGAAGCCCUGAGAACUAGAACCAUGAGGAAAAUGUGUCACCAUUGAGAUGAACCCAACUGAAGGGCUAUGCAAAGGCAUGUGAUGGACUGAAGGUGGUGCUGAGCCUCUUGGUCAGAUUCCAAAGCUGGUGCACCUUUAAACCUCAUCUUGACUCCAAGCCCAACCUGAGUGAAAGCACGGCAUCUGGAGAGGAGGCUGGACAC